CCUCAUGUUACUGGCGAUCGAGUUUUAAGCCAAGAUUACCGGCGAUUACCAGCGAUUACCGGUGAUUUUCUCUCAAGGUUUUCAGCCACCAUCACAAGGAUCUUAUUGAAAUGGAAAAGUCUAGUUCGAAUCCUAGUAAUUCUACAUCAGCUUCAUCUAAUGCUAAGAAAGGGAAAAAAA